rnacentral:tRNA from 1 species
GGGCCGGUAGCUCAGCCGGUAGAGCAGGGGCCUUUUAAGCCCAAGGUCGUGGGUUCGACCCCCACCCGGCCCA